rnacentral:rRNA from 1 species
AGAGUUUGAUCCUGGCUCAGAUUGAACGCUGGCGGAACGCUUUACACAUGCAAGUCGAACGGUAACGCGGAGAGAAGCUUGCUUCUCUCCGGCGACGAGUGGCGAACGGGUGAGUAAUACAUCGGAACGUGUCCGCUCGUGGGGGACAACCAGCCGAAAGGUUGGCUAAUACCGCAUGAGUUCUACGGAAGAAAGAGGGGGACCCGCAAGGGCCUCUCGCGAGCGGAGCGGCCGAUGACUGAUUAGCCUGUUGGUGAGGUAACGGCUCACCAAAGCAACGAUCAGUAGCUGGUCUGAGAGGACGACCAGCCACACUGGGACUGAGACACGGCCCAGACUCCUACGGGAGGCAGCAGUGGGGAAUUUUGGACAAUGGGCGCAAGCCUGAUCCAGCUAUUCCGCGUGUGGGAUGAAGGCCCUCGGGUUGUAAACCACUUUUGUAGAGAACGAAAAGACACCUUCGAAUAAAGGGUGUUGCUGACGGUACUCUAAGAAUAAGCACCGGCUAACUACGUGCCAGCAGCCGCGGUAAUACGUAGGGUGCGAGCGUUAAUCGGAAUUACUGGGCGUAAAGGGUGCGCAGGCGGUUGAGUAAGACAGAUGUGAAAUCCCCGAGCUUAACUCGGGAAUGGCAUAUGUGACUGCUCGACUAGAGUGUGUCAGAGGGAGGUGGAAUUCCACGUGUAGCAGUGAAAUGCGUAGAUAUGUGGAAGAACACCGAUGGCGAAGGCAGCCUCCUGGGACAUAACUGACGCUCAGGCACGAAAGCGUGGGGAGCAAACAGGAUUAGAUACCCUGGUAGUCCACGCCCU